CGGGGGCCGCGUCGGCGCGCGCAGGGUGGCCUCGCUUGUGAGUCUGCGCGUCAGGGCCGCCGGCCUCGCCUUGGCUGUUGGAGCUGACUUCGCGUUGCCCAGGUGACACAGACGGGUUCCCCGUUGUCGUGCCAGCGCUCUUUCCUUUCACCAUAUGCCGUCUCUCAGAGUCGUUCCAAGUACUCUGAGGGAAGACACCCUCGGUUGUGGAAACAAGCCCCUGUCAUCGUGCCGGAAGUAGUGAGUCCUCUAAAGGUCCCAGGAAAACAGUUUCCUCAAAUAUACUCGUUGAAAAACUGAAGACAUUGCCUGAGAUGCAAGUUGAAUUAAGGACAUAGAACCCUUAGAAGACCAUAGGUUCUCCCUGAGAAGCACAACACCAAUUAUGUGUUAAAUACUAUGGGGCCUGCCCAGUGGAGCAGCGGUUAAAGUUCGCUUUCUGCUUCAGCAACCCUGGGUUCACCAGUUUGAAACCUGGCUGUGGACCUGUGCACCGCUUGGCAAGCCAUACUGUGGCAGGCAUCCCGCAUGUAAAGUAGACGAAGCUUACAAUCUGACUACUGGAGGCAGAGAUUAGUAAAUACAAUUUGCAUACCGUGGGCAUGCUGUAUAACCUGGGAAGCCAUAAAAUGGAAGACACAGGGACUCUCAACGUAUGGAGGAAAUCUGCCUGACAACCAAGAACACCCACCCUUAAGAGCAAG
rnacentral:lncRNA from 1 species